GUUAGGAAUAUUGGACAAUGGGCGCAAGCCUGAUCCAGCCAUGCCGCGUGAGUGAUGAAGGCCUUCGGGUUGUAAAGCUCUUUAGUCCACGAAUAUAAUGACUGUAGUGGAAGAAUAAGCCCCGGCUAACUUCGUGCCAGCAGCCGCGGUAAUACGAAGGGGGCGAGCGUUAUUCGGAAUCACUGGGCGUAAAGCGUGCGUAGGCUGUUUUGUAAGUCAGAAGUGAAAGCCCAGGGCUUAACCCUGGAAUUGCUUUUGAAACUACAAGACUCGAAUUCGGGAGAGGAUAGCGGAAUUGUCAGUGUAGCAGUGAAAUGCGUAGAUAUUGACAGGAACACCAGUGGCGUAAGCGGCUAUCUGGACCGAUAUUGACGCUGAGGCACGAAAGCGUGGGGAUCAAACAGGAUUAGAAACCCCGGUAGUCC
rnacentral:rRNA from 1 species